GUGAGGAAUAUUGCGCAAUGGAGGCAACUCUGACGCAGCCAUGCCGCGUGCAGGAAGAAGGCGCUACGCGUUGUAAACUGCUUUUAACCGGGAAGAAACCCCAGGACGUGUCCUGGGUUGACGGUACCGGAGGAAUAAGCACCGGCUAACUUCGUGCCAGCAGCCGCGGUAAUACGAAGGGUGCAAGCGUUAUCCGGAUUCAUUGGGUUUAAAGGGUGCGUAGGCGGAGCGUUAAGUCAGUGGUGAAAUCCUGCAGCUUAACUGUAGACUUGCCAUUGAUACUGGCGCUCUUGAGUGCGCUUGAAGUGGGCGGAAUGUGCCGUGUAGCAGUGAAAUGCUUAGAUAUGGCACAGAACACCAAUUGCGAAGGCAGCUCACUAAGGCGAUACUGACGCUGAGGCACGAAAGCGUGGGGAUCGAACAGGAUUAGAAACCCGUGUAGUCC
rnacentral:rRNA from 1 species